AGGGUUCGAUUCUGGCUCAGAACGAACGCUGGCGGCGCGUCUUAAGCAUGCAAGUCGAACGGCAAGAGGUAGCAAUACCUCCUAGAGUGGCGGACUGGUGAGUAACACGUGGGUGACAUACCCUUCAGAUGGGGAUAGCUAUUAGAAAUAGUAGAUAAUACCGAAUACGAGCACAGGGGUUAGAGAUCUGUGAGGAAAGGAGCUAAGGCUCCGCUGAAGGAAUGGCCUGCGGCCAUUAGCUAGUUGGUGAGGUAAGAGCCCACCAAGGCGAUGAUGGGUAUCCGGCCUUAGAGGGUGAACGGACACAUUGGGACUGAGAUACGGCCCAGACUCCUACGGGAGGCAGCAGCUAAGAAUAUUCCGCAAUGGACGAAAGUCUGACGGAGCGACGCCGCGUGGAUGAAGAAGGCCGGAAGGUUGUAAAAUCCUUUUGAAACUGAAGAAUAAGCGUUGUAGGGAAUGACAGCGUGGUGACAGUAGGUUUUGAAUAAGCAACGGCUAAUUACGUGCCAGCCGCGGC
rnacentral:rRNA from 1 species